GAGCUAUGAAGAAGAUUGUAAAGGAAUCUGAGAUUCUAUUGGAGACACAAGAUCCAACUCUGAGCUCACUGCCCCA
rfam:Picoides pubescens contig47617, whole genome shotgun sequence.